rnacentral:rRNA from 1 species
GCAACCCCUAUUUUUAGUUGCCAACGGGUCAUGCCGGGAACUCUAAAGAGACUGCCGGUGAUAAACCGGAGGAAGGUGGGGAUGACGUCAAGUCCUCAUGGCCUUUAUACUCAGGGCUACACACGUGCUACAAUGGCCGGUACAAAGAGUCGCAGGACCGCGAGGUGGAGCUAAUCUCAUAAAACCGGUCUCAGUUCGGAUUGGAGUCUGCAACUCGACUCCAUGAAGUUGGAAUCGCUAGUAAUCGUAGAUCAGCAUGUUACGGUGAAUACGUUCCCGGGCCUUGUACACACCGCCCGUCACACCAUGAAAGCCGAUUGUACUAGAAGUCAUGAUGCCAACCUUCGGGAGGCUAAUGCCUAAAGUAAGCUUGGUGAUCGGGGUGAAGUCGUAACAAGGUAACCA